GAGGGGGCAAGCGUUAUUCGGAAUUAUUGGGCGUAAAGGGCGCGUAGGCGGCUUUGCAAGUGACGGGUGAAAGCCCUCGGCUUAACCGAGGAACUGCCUGUCAGACUGUGAGGCUUGAGACCGGGAGAGGUGAGUGGAAUUCCCAGUGUAGCGGUGAAAUGCGUAGAUAUUGGGAGGAACACCAGUGGCGAAGGCGGCUCACUGGACCGGAACUGACGCUGAGGCGCGAAAGCGUGGGGAGCAAACAGGAUUAGAUACCCUGGUAGUCCACGCCGUAAACGAUGAGUGCUUGGUGUAGCGGGUAUCGACCCCUGCUGUGCCGAAGUCAACACAUUAAGCACUCCGCCUGGGGAGUACGGUCGCAAGACUG
rnacentral:rRNA from 1 species